AAAAAGUCUAAAAAAUAUAACAUUGGAUGAUGUUUUGUUUGGAGAUAUUUGGCUUUGCAGUGGUCAGAGCAAUAUGCAGUAUACACUGGACGAUUCGGAACAUGGAGAUAAAGCAAUCAAUGAAUCGAUAAACUAUCCCAACAUACGUGUAUUUACUUCUGGCCUUGAUUGCUCUAUGACUCCUCGGAGGGAGUUAAAUAGCAUUGUCUUGCCUUGGUCCGUUCCUUCACCAGAAACUUUAAAUGGGGC